GUCCGGGUGGUCGAGGUCGAUGAGAGGGAUGUUUUCACCGGUGGCCGGAGGAGAAGGAGCAGCGGAGAAGAGGAGAUCGUCUUUAGGGGUCCACUUGUAAGAAUCCGGGAGCUCCCGGAGAGAUGUGAAGUCAGGUAUGUGAGAGUGUGGGAGGUGAAUGGGAUGGCCUCUAAACACAUCUGUUAACAUAGCAGGCAUCUUGCUCUUUUUUAAUUAGUUUUAAAACUUUGUAAAUUUGAUAGAUGUUUGUGUUUUUUUUCUUAUGAGAAGUGUGGUGUUUGGUGAUGGGAGAUUGGAAGAGUUAGAGAGUUUUAUUUAUAGUGGUGGAGUAGAGACCAAGAGGAG
rnacentral:lncRNA from 1 species